rnacentral:rRNA from 1 species
CAGUCGCCGCGGGAAUACGAAGGGGGCUAGCGUUGCUCGGAAUGACUGGGCGUAAAGGGCGCGUGGGCGGCUUGGUAAGUUAGAGGUGAAAGCCCGGAGCUCAACUCCGGAAUUGCCUUUAAGACUGCCGAGCUAGCAGGUGAGAGAGGUGAGUGGAAUUCCGAGUGUAGAGGUGAAAUUCGUAGAUAUUCGGAAGAACACCAGUGGCGAAGGCGGCUCACUGGCUCAUACUGGACGCUGAGGUGCGAAAGCGUGGGGAGCAAACAGGAUUAGAUACCCGAGUAGUCCCUGUCUCUUAUAC